rnacentral:sRNA from 1 species
AAAACGCUUUCAUUUCCUCUUGCCUUUUAAGUCAUCCCUCUCGGCCUUGGCAUGCCACCCCCAGCAAUGGUUCUGGCUACUAUCCGGAUGAAAGCUACAAUGAAGUAUAUGCAGAGGAGGUCCCACAGGCUCCUGCCCUGGACUACCGAGUCCCCCGAUGGUGUUAUACAUUAAAUAUCCAGGAUGGAGAAGCCACAUGCUACUCACCGAGGGGAGGAAAUUAUCACAGCAGCCUGGGCACACGUUGUGAGCUCUCCUGUGACCGGGGCUUUCGAUUGAUUGGAAGGAGGUCGGUGCAAUGCCUGCCAAGCCGUCGUUGGUCUGGAACUGCCUACUGCAGGCAGAUGAGAUGCCACGCACUACCAUUCAUCACUAGUGGCACUUACACCUGCACAAAUGGAGUGCUUCUUGACUCUCGCUGUGACUACAGCUGUUCCAGUGGCUACCACCUGGAAGGUGAUCGCAGCCGAAUCUGCAUGGAAGAUGGGAGAUGGAGUGGAGGCGAGCCUGUAUGUGUAGACAUAGAUCCCCCCAAGAUCCGCUGUCCCCACUCACGUGAGAAGAUGGCAGAGCCAGAGAAAUU